UACGAAGGGGGGCGAGCGUUGUUCGGAUUUACUGGGCGUAAAGGGCGCGCAGGCGGUUCUGUUUGUCGAGUGUGAAAGCCCCGGGCUCAACCUGGGAACUGCGCUCGAAACGGCGGAACUAGAGUUCGGGAGAGGAGAGUGGAAUUCCCAGUGUAGAGGUGAAAUUCGUAGAUAUCGGGAGGAACACCAGUGGCGAAGGCGGCGACCUGGACGGACACUGACGCUGAGACGCGAAAGCGUGGGGAGCAAACAGGGAUUAAGAAACCCUGAGUA
rnacentral:rRNA from 1 species